rnacentral:rRNA from 1 species
UACAGAGGGUGCGAGCGUUAAUCGGAAUUACUGGGCGUAAAGCGCACGUAGGCGGCUUGGUAUGUCGGGUGUGAAAUCCCCGGGCUCAACCUGGGAACUGCAUCCGAAGCUGCCUUGCUAGAGUAUGGGAGAGGGAAGUGGAAUUUCCGGUGUAGCGGUGAAAUGCGUAGAUAUCGGAAGGAACAUCAGUGGCGAAGGCGACUUCCUGGACCAAUACUGACGCUCAGGUGCGAAAGCGUGGGGAGCAAACAGG